AGAGUUUGAUCCUGGCUCAGGAUGAACGCUAGCGACAGGCUUAACACAUGCAAGUCGAGGGGCAUCGGGGCGAGGAGCAAUCCUUGCCGCCGGCGACCGGCGCACGGGUGAGUAACGCGUAUGCGACCUGCCCGUUGCAGGGGGAUAAUCGGGAGAAAUCCCGUCUAAUACCGCGUAAUGCCGCGGGGCUGCAUGGCCCUGCGGCCAAAGGAAGCGAUUCCGGCAACGGAUGGGCAUGCGUGACAUUAGCUAGUUGGCGGGGCAACGGCCCACCAAGGCGACGAUAUCUAGGGGUUCUGAGAGGAAGGUCCCCCACACUGGUACUGAGACACGGACCAGACUCCUACGGGAGGCAGCAGUGAGGAAUAUUGGUCAAUGGGCGCGAGCCUGAACCAGCCAAGUCGCGUGAGAGAUGACGGCCCUACGGGUUGUAAACCUCUUUUGUCGGGGAGCAAAUUCCGCCACGCGUGGCGGAGUCGAGAGUACCCGAAGAAAAAGCAUCGGCUAACUCCGUGCCAGCAGCCGCGGUAAUACGGAGGAUGCGAGCGUUAUCCGGAUUUAUUGGGUUUAAAGGGUGCGUAGGCGGACUGUCAAGUCAGCGGUAAAAUACGGGGGCUCAACCUCCGCCCGCCGUUGAAACUGACGGUCUUGAGUGGGCGAGAAGUAUGCGGAAUGCGUGGUGUAGCGGUGAAAUGCAUAGAUAUCACGCAGAACUCCGAUUGCGAAGGCAGCAUACCGGCGCCCAACUGACGCUGAAGCACGAAAGCGUGGGUAUCGAACAGGAUUAGAUACCCUGGUAGUCCACGCAGUAAACGAUGAAUACUAGCUGUCCGGGGCGAAUGAGCUCUGGGUGGCACAGCGAAAGCGUUAAGUAUUCCACCUGGGGAGUACGCCGGCAACGGUGAAACUCAAAGGAAUUGACGGGGGCCCGCACAAGCGGAGGAACAUGUGGUUUAAUUCGAUGAUACGCGAGGAACCUUACCCGGGCUCAAACGGGGAGUGACUCAGGCAGAGACGCCUGUUUCCCACGGGACACUCCCCGAGGUGCUGCAUGGUUGUCGUCAGCUCGUGCCGUGAGGUGUCGGCUUAAGUGCCAUAACGAGCGCAACCCCCGCGUGCAGUUGCUAACAGAUAACGCUGAGGACUCUGCACGGACUGCCGGCGCAAGCCGCGAGGAAGGCGGGGAUGACGUCAAAUCAGCACGGCCCUUACGUCCGGGGCGACACACGUGUUACAAUGGGUGGUACAGCGGGAAGCCAGGCGGCGACGCCGAGCGGAACCCGAAAUCCACUCUCAGUUCGGAUCGGAGUCUGCAACCCGACUCCGUGAAGCUGGAUUCGCUAGUAAUCGCGCAUCAGCCAUGGCGCGGUGAAUACGUUCCCGGGCCUUGCACUCACCGCCCGUCA
rnacentral:rRNA from 1 species